CGGGCUCCCUCGGGUACCGGCGCUGCCGCACCCCGCAGCGCUCCCGCACCCACGGCCCGCCCACCGCGCCGCUCCCGCAUCUGCACCCGCAGCCCGGCGGCCUCCCGGCGGGAGCGAGCAGAUCCAGUUCAGCCCUCAGCGCAACUCGGUCCAGUCGGGGCGGCGGCUGCGGGCGCAGAGCGGAGAUGCAGCGGCUUGGGGCCACCCUGCUGUGCCUGCUGCUGGCGGCGGCGGUCCCCACGGCCCCCGCGCCCGCUCCGACGGCGACCUCGGCUCCAGUCAAGCCCGGCCCGGCUCUCAGCUACCCGCAGGAGGAGGCCACCCUCAAUGAGAUGUUCCGCGAGGUUGAGGAACUGAUGGAGGACACGCAGCACAAAUUGCGCAGCGCGGUGAAAGAGAUGGAGGCAGAAGAAGCGGCUGCUAAAGCGUCAUCAGAAGUGAACCUGGCAAACUUACCUCCCAGCUAUCACAAUGAGACCAACACAGACACGAAGGUUGGAAAUAAUACCAUCCAUGUGCACCGAGAAAUUCACAAGGUAAGUCAUGGCCAGCACUUCCUCCUUUCUAUAGCAUCCAGUCCCAUCAGAGAACUAAGGUUUUUUUGUUUUUUCAUAUGUGAUAUACAAGCCCAAACUACAAUCGAGAAUCAUAAAAUAUGGAUUGAAAACCAGAAAGAGUAAUGUUACUGUUGAAAGUGGGGAGACAAUGUAUCAGGAUCCUAAACUGCUUUUGCAUUUAAGCAAUAUAUUUAACCCUAGGCUUCCUGCCAGUCCAGUUGCAAAGGAAUGUCCAGGGAUUAUCAUUUGAAAAAAAGAAAGCAAAUGAAUGUCUAAAAAGACCCUUUCCUAGCAUUGAAUUUGUGGAAUUGAUCUAUCUCAUAGGUUUUUAUGUAUGUCUCAGUAGGGAUUGAACUACAGACCACGUUAUGGUGAAUUGACCCUCACUUUUUUUUAGGAGGAAUGUAAAUAUGAUAUACCCCAUUUCCAAAAGAGAAACCCUCUAUUGCUACAAAAUUAAACAUUCAUUUGCUGGUUGUGCGUUCAAAAUUCUAUAGCAGAUUUUUCCCCAAACUACCACCUGU
rnacentral:sRNA from 1 species